rnacentral:lncRNA from 1 species
CCUAGUAUUCGCAUAGUAGUGGUGUACAACGUUGUUAGUGAAGGAGGUAAGUGUGAAGAUGACGUAUCGCGUGAAAUGACCCGAUUGGUGAGGACUCUGUGGUGGAGCGAUGAUUCAAGUCAGACCGUGGUGAGCAGAAGGUGGUGGUGGCGGCGGAUGUCCCGGUUGAGGUAAUACCGGGACAGAUUGCCAGGAUGUGUGGAAGACAGCGAUACCCGUCAACUUCACUAUUGGUGAAUACUUGGCCGUGAGAGGCUUGAGUACCUUUGACGUGGAUAACAUGGUGUGUAGGUACUUUAUGGACAGACGUGCAAUUGUUGAAUAAAGUUGACGUCUUGCAUAGAAGAAUUGCGAGAUGAUGGUAAUGGAGAAGGUUGAUUGGUAGAGGGAAUCGGAGCCAGCGGACUUUGACGUACAACGGAACCAGAGGGUGAAGUGCAAGAAUGAUUUGUUGAAGAGAGGGAUGACGCGACCCACACCGUGAAUAACUGAAAGGAGUUAAGAUUGACCGAUACGAAGACUGGACAAAAAAGAGAAGGGGGGUUCCUGAAUCGAUAAGUGUUACAAUGGCAUUUGGUACCUGGAAGUGGAAAUUGAGUGUUGCAUUUAAAGACGAGAUAAUAAUAUAGUCGUAUUGAGGGUGGAAGAAUGUGUGUUUUGUUGCCUUAAUACUUAUUUCGUGAAACAGUGUUGGGAAGAGAUAGAGGGGCCAAAAUGCGUGGAUGGUUAAAGAAGGGAUGCGUGAAGUUUUGGAAAAGGUGUGAAAUGAAUGUUAUGGAAGGAUGUAGAGUAAAUGUUAGUUAGCAUGUCGUAUUGUAAAACGCAUAUUUGUAUACACGAGCAAAGGAGAAGUAAUCGGUGUGUGGUUCUAUAAUAUAAUGUUAAAACAGAAUAUAUUGAUAAUGUCGAAUGCAUUUGUGGUGUUGUAAGGACGUCAUUGUGAAAGAUGUACUGACAGUCAUGUUAGCAGUAAUGCAUAAAUAGUAGUGUACAAGUGAGGCAGUUUUGUGUUGGACAAUACUAAAAGGCGUACUCGAAAACUAAGUGCGCAAUAAGUGGAAAUAUGUACUAUAUAUGACAAUAAUGGAUUGUAGUUAUUUACAGUUGGUAUUAAAUCGUAGUUUGAAAUGUUGUUAAUAAUUGAGUUGACCAGAAAAGGAAAAAAAAACGUAAGGUAACCAUGUUUUUUUAUUGAAGAAUAGGAUGUUUUUUUAUUGAAGAAUAGGAUGUUAUUUGUUUGUAAUUAUAUGUACUACUAAACCUAUGGAGGGGCUGAGUCACAAUAACGUGGCUAAAGUAUGAGCAGCAGACCACACACUAGAAUGUGAAUGGACGAGGACGUUUCUGUCCGUCCUGAUAGUGUGGUCUGGUCAUCAUACUUAACCUAUACCUAUAUUGAUAGUUAAGAAAUAAAAACAAAAGUCUGUUUGAAAUGUAUUAAUGUUCUUUUUUCACAUAAUAAAAUGUGUAAAAUAAAAGAAGCAAUUCAUUGAUACAUAAGUUGUAUAGCAAAUUUAACUGGGUUUUUAGAAGUGUGAAGAUAAAACUAGGAGAAUCAAUGGUCGAGUUAAAUGUAACAGCCCCAUAAUUAAACUUUAAUGUUAGACAUGUACUAUGUAUGAUAGUGAUUUAUAGUUAUUAUUAAUGUGCUGUCCAUGUGAAUUUUGAUGAUGGGUUGCAGCACUAAUAUGUAUGAGUGACGUAGCUUAGAUGUAAGGUGGUGUCUAAAGAUAGUUUGAUAAGAUGACGAGGGGAUAGCGUGACUGUGCUUGCUUUACAUUCCUCUGUCGUCCUGUCUAAGCUCGAGUAUGGUUGCCGUGCUUACUUGUCUGGCAAUACUCUUCGCCGUGUUGAUGGUUUCGACCAUAGUGGGUUACGCCUCGGUUGUGGUCGCUUUCGUGUGAGUCCGUCGUCAGGUUGUAUGUUGACAGUGGCUUCGUGUCUCUCCAGGAGCGCUGUGAUCGCUACUGUGUUCGGUAUCUUGCACGAUCCUUGGAAGAUCGUUGCUGUGUGGUGGUUUAACUUUUAGCCGUGGUGCGGUUCGUGUUGCUCUUCACCACCUCCCACUUUCGGACGUGUUAUGUUGCUUACAUGAUUGUGUUUAUAGUUUUAAGGUUUCUCGUCAUUUUGUUCGUUCCUUGCCUCUGUGGAGUGUACCCUUUGUCAAGUUUUGUAGGUCCUUGACUUGUAUUAGUACUUCGCAGUCCCACUCUAUUUCCAUCUUCAGGGAAGGGUCUAAGUCUGCGGAGGGUGUGAGGUACUGUUGUUUUUCCUGACCGUAGUUGUGUGUCGCCUCCCUUCAGAGGGUAGCGUCUUUACGGGAGAACUUUAUGCUAGUGUCUCCGUGUGUGGGUUUCUCAUUCCUCGUUUGUGGUUGUAGUUGACUGUCGUAGUGUCAUGAUGGCUGUAGGGUCGUUUAAGGAUGUCCAUCGUCAUCCUUAAACGUUCGUUGAGAUUAAACAUUUUCUGUAUGUUAUUUCUAGUAAAUUGAAAUGGGUAGUUUUGAUUGGUUCGCAGCCAUAUUGGUGUCUUUCAAUGAGCGUGCGGAUGCUGCCGCUAAGGGCGCUAUCGGUUUUUGUCCCA